GACGAACGCUGGCGGCGUGCUUAACACAUGCAAGUCGAACGGAAAGGCCCUGCUUUUGUGGGGUGCUCGAGUGGCGAACGGGUGGGUAACACGUGAGUAACCUGCCCUUGACUUUGGGAUAACUUCAGGAAACUGGGGCUAAUACCGGAUAGGAGCUCCUGCUGCAUGGUGGGCGUUGGAAAGUUUCGGCGGUUGGGGAUGGACUCGCGGCUUAUCAGCUUGUUGGUGGGGUAGUGGCUUACCAAGGCUUCGACGGGUAGCCGGCCUGAGAGGGUGACCGGCCACAUUGGGACUGAGAUACGGCCCAGACUCCUACGGGAGGCAGCAGUGGGGAAUAUUGCACAAUGGGCGGAAGCCUGAUGCAGCAACGCCGCGUGCGGGAUGACGGCCUUCGGGUUGUAAACCGCUUUCGCCUGUGACGAAGCGUGAGUGACGGUAAUGGGUAAAGAAGCACCGGCUAACUACGUG
rnacentral:rRNA from 1 species